rnacentral:rRNA from 1 species
UUCGGGGGCGAGCGGCGGACGGGUUAGUAACGCGUGGGAACAUACCCUUUACUACGGAAUAGCCUCGGGAAACUGAGAGUAAUACCGUAUGUGCCCUUCGGGGGAAAGAUUUAUCGGUAAAGGAUUGGCCCGCGUUAGAUUAGAUAGUUGGUGGGGUAAUGGCCUACCAAGUCUACGAUCUAUAGCUGGUUUUAGAGGAUGAUCAGCAACACUGGGAUUGAGACACGGCCCAGACUCCUACGGGAGGCAGCAGUGGGGAAUCUUAGACAAUGGGCGCAAGCCUGAUCUAGCCAUGCCGCGUGUGUGAUGAAGGCCUUAGGGUCGUAAAGCACUUUCGCCAGAGAUGAUAAUGACAGUAUCUGGUAAAGAAACCCCGGCUAACUCCGUGCCAGCAGCCGCGGUAAUACGGAGGGGGUUAGCGUUGUUCGGAAUUACUGGGCGUAAAGCGUACGUAGGCGGAUCAGAAAGUAUGGGGUGAAAUCCCAGGGCUCAACCCUGGAACUGCCUCAUAAACUCCUGGUCUUGAGUUCGAGAGAGGUGAGUGGAAUUCCAAGUGUAGAGGUGAAAUUCGUAGAUAUUUGGAGGAACACCAGUGGCGAAGGCGGCUCACUGGCUCGAUACUGACGCUGAGGUACGAAAGUGUGGGGAGCAAACAGGAUUAGAUACCCUGGUAGUCCACACCGUAAACGAUGAAUGCCAGUCGUCGGGCAGUAUACUGUUCGGUGACACACCUAACGGAUUAAGCAUCC